CCUACGGGGGGCAGCAGUAGGGAAUAUUGGGCAAUGGUCGGAAGACUGACCCAGCCAUGCCGCGUGCAGGAAGAAUGCCCUCUGGGUUGUAAACUGCUUUUAUCUGGGAAGAAAAAGGCCAUGCGUGGCAAAUUGCCGGUACCAGAUGAAUAAGCACCGGCUAACUCCGUGCCAGCAGCCGCGGUAAUACGGAGGGUGCAAGCGUUGUCCGGAUUUAUUGGGUUUAAAGGGUGCGUAGGCGGCUAUUUAAGUCAGCGGUGAAAGACUUCAGCUUA
rnacentral:rRNA from 1 species